CCUACGGGGGGCUGCAGUGGGGAAUAUUGGACAAUGGGGGGAACCCUGAUCCAGCCAUGCCGCGUGUGUGAAGAAGGCCCUCGGGUUGUAAAGCACUUUCAGUGAGGAAGAACGCCUGGUGGUUAAUACCCAUCAGGAAAGACAUCACUCACAGAAGAAGCACCGGCUAACUCCGUGCCAGCAGCCGCGGUAAUACGGAGGGUGCGAGCGUUAAUCGGAAUUACUGGGCGUAAAGCGCGCGUAGGUGGCUUGAUCAGCCGGUUGUGAAAGCCCCGGGCUCAACCUGGGAACGGCAUCCGGAACUGUCAAGCUAGAGUGCAGGAGAGGAAGGUAGAAUUCCCGGUGUAGCGGUGAAAUGCGUAGAGAUCGGGAGGAAUACCAGUGGCGAAGGCGGCCUUCUGGACUGACACUGACACUGAGGUGCGAAAGCGUGGGUAGCAAACAGGAUUAGAUACCCUUGUAGUC
rnacentral:rRNA from 1 species